rnacentral:lncRNA from 1 species
CUCACUAGCUCUGGAUCAUCACAUGAAUUGAAGAUGUUGAAUUGUCAAUGUAAUUUUUUUCAUCGCCCGGGGAAUCACAGCACCGAUCCCUUCCCACUUAUCAACAUUCCAUGAUCUUCUGAAGUGAAUAAGCUGCUAGGCAAUCAGACUACCAAACUUCGACUGCAACUCAUUAAGCAGGAACCUGAUUACAAAAAGAAUACUUCAAAGUGAAAACGAGUCUAUCAAACAUGGUGUUCUAAAUAUGAAAUAUUUGUCUUCUUUCAUCAUUUUAAUUUCAUAACAAAGAAUAAUCAAAAACCAAUUUUAAUGAAUUCACUGACUUCAUGGAUUCUCUGAAUUAGUGAAAUUCUGCAACAGGUGAUACUAUGAAGAGGUAAAAACUAACUAUCAGGCUGAAUAUCUACAGCAAUACAAACCCGCAUACAAAAGAAAGAGCACCAUCUUGAUCUUAAGAAAACAAGUACUUAAAGUUUCAAAAUCCUCCCCUCACCAAGGCAUGAGAUGUAAACCAGCACAAAACCAAUCCAAUUUCUGAACCUUAUAUACCUUUCAAUGAGGCAAUAAAGUCAAACAAGGCACGAACGAGCAUACCAAACUGCUACUUUAUAAUAUCCAUAAUCAGGAAAAAACUGCAAAAUGAUGCUUCAGACAGUUUUAAGAGAAAAGAAUAGAAUGGCACCAAAAAACUUGUGAACAGACACUAAUCAACUCAUAGGAUAACUACUAUCUUGUAUUUGAUCUCAUAAACCCAGAAACCAGAACAAUUCAAAAAAGGGCCUCAAGCAAUUCCGAAAUCCAAAUAUAAUGUACAUAAAAUCCACAGAAACGAAAACUGGAUUCAAUCAUUAUCUUUUUCAUGAUAUUGCAUACGAAUAAAAAAAAACCGAAAAUUAUCAUAACAAGUGAAAAGGGAACAUUAACAAAUGAAGAGAAGAUCAGAAUAACAUCACCAAAACACAAAGUACUGAGCUUUUGAAAGAUGGACAUCAACUCACCAUGUAAGAACUCAAGAAGAUCUUCUCUCUCUCUAUCAAACAUCUACCUCUAAGUCCCAUUUCUUUUAGGAGAGUUGUUUUCACCGUGGGUUUAUAUCUCCACUCUCUCCCUUUAAAAGGCAAGAAAAGAUAUGUUUUGUUUCCAUCUGUGCAGUGUGAGUGUGUUUGCUGUUUAUGGAAGUGAGUCUGUG